ACCACCAGGAUGGUCUUCCAAAAAAUUUGUCACGUCAUAAACCUGUUUCAACAAAUCAAAAAGGCUCAGAAGAAGUAAAACUUUUUUUUUUUUUAUGAACCCUGAAGUAUCAUUAGUUGCAAAACUGAUGGGCCUAUAAAAUUUAUUUCAAAGUUAGCAUUAUUUCUUCAACAUUAAAUAGCUUGUGACGAGAAGUUUGGAUCCAUGGAAAAAGAAGAAAGCUUUCCCAUUGCUUGGCCUGAAAGAUACAUGAUCAUGAAAUAGGGAUUGCAAUGAAUGGAUAGUAAAGUUAUUGGACACCAAACUUAUGUUAUUUGCUGAAAUACAGAAAAUUAAAAGAAAUCACGACAAGAAAAAAACUAGAUAUAACAAUUGAUGGUUUCAUCACAAAACUUUUUGUUCCCAACAAUCAACAAUUAAAAAGAUAUUUGGUAUCUAAAAGUGAGGCCUAAUAUUCUCAUAAAAAAGAAAAAGCCCCUUUGGUUAACUUUAGGAAGCAAAAACCACUGAUUUCCAUAAGAUGAUCUUAUGGAAAUCAAGAGUGAGCAAAAACCAAUUAUUAAUCACUGAUAAAUCUAUAUUAAGGUCGUCACUCUGCUCCUUAAUACCACCCACUCCUUUUUCUCCUCCGUUUCUCCUAUCACUCGAGGCAAUGGCUUUAUUUAAGUCCUUUUAUUCUGCCCUAAUUCUUACUAAUCUCAAUCACAUUAUCUGCCUGAUUUAUGAUCUAUCCUUAGCGUUCUGUCGUCUGCGCAAUACAUAAGAUGAUAAUGGGGGAAAAAAGCUAUAGAAUUUACAACUCUUUGUGCACUGCUCCAACAUUUGCCCACACCCCCACCCCGUUAGUUGGCCUGUAACCUAGAGUGCCUAGGUGUAUAAGAGCAACAAAAAGAAUAGGAGAAAAAAGACUAAGAAUAGAAAUUCACUGACAUGAAUAGAAUUUUUCUUUCCCUUUCCCAUUUUACAACUGUUUAAUCAUACAGCAGGAUACAAUCACGACUAUGGAUCACCACUAUCUAAAGUCCGAUCUUUAGCUGUUGGAACUUGGGUGAGUUCAUUUGUUAGGGGACGCAGGCGUGUAUCAAGUCAAGGGUCUCAAAUUGACAAAGAAAUUACAAAUGAAUUGCCAUCAAUGAAAUUAACAUGGAUUCAGAAUUGAGAAGAACUAACACAGCCAGAAUUAGAUUUUCUGAUAAAAGGAACAUAUAGUGAUGAGUUUUAGCAGCGAAAGGCAACAAAAAUCCUUCAGUAAUCUGAUUCUGAAAAGCUAAAAACAUUUUACAUCAAUGGUAAAGCACUUGAUUUCCCCUCUUUAAUAAUCAAAUGACGUGUCAGAAUAUGCAACUCUCAUACAAUAUGCAGAAUUUCAAAAUCUCUUUUGAACGCGUUUAGUUCCAUUGCAUGCUGCAAUAAUCAAUUGAAAGGAAUAUUAGAGGCUUUAAACGAAAGAGACAUAAGGAAUAUUCAUAGAUCAGAGUAUAAACAACGCAGAAAAGCCAUUAUGAAUAAAGCGGGAUACAGAAUUCGUAAUAGACCCAAUAGGUUGAAGUGGGAAUCCCAAAUAAUCGAACAGGCCAUACAGAAGAAAUAAUUAACAAGCAUCAAGGACAUGCAACAGAGGGCAAACAAGCCAAGAUCAGCAAAUAUAGCGAAAAGCCAAUAGAUGAACAAAAAAAUAUGCCCAGCACAAACGUAUGCAUCAAGUCAAUCACAAGCAAAGCUAUCAUAAUCUCAGAUGGCUAAUAAUAAUGAUAAGUUCACCUUGCUGCCGAUAAUCAACCAACAGUCCUUGG
rnacentral:misc_RNA from 1 species